UGUAUUUUCAUUCAACAUGUUGAGAUUGUUGUACAAUAUUUUCAAAGUGUGCCAAACUAACGUCAUUGCUGCCGAAUAAGAACCCUCCAUUUCCCCCAAACUGUCAUUCAAAUAUAGGAAAAGCUUCUUUUAUUUUCAGUGUGAUUAUCUGCUGUUCAGGUUAGAAGAAUAGUUGAAUAAUUGUAGAAAUACAUUAAUGUCAGAAGAGAAAAUCUGUACCACUCAUGUAAUGCUAAAUAUGUAGCUAACAUUACGGCUAACAGGCAGUUAGCUUUUCAAACCUAGAGAACAGCUACCUAACUUCUCAUGAAACCACAGUUCAUUAUUCACUGCUUGGUUUUCAACAUUUCAGUUACUACGCUUCAGAAGUCCUGAUUGGUGGAUUUGAACUUUGGGCCAUUCAGGUUUAAUGUCAUCCUUGUUUUCAGUCAUUCUGCUAGUCUUAGCUAACUCCUAGCUCCAGGCGCCAGCGUCAUAUUUUGCAUUCAAAGACAAGAGUGGCAUCAGUGUUCUCGUCUCAUUCACAGCAAUAAAUUGAAUAACUUCUUUUUAGAUUUCUUUAAACAGUGGUGAUUUGGAAGAAGCCAUAGGGUAAAUGACAUCACAGACAUCAUGAUGGCUAACAGAGGAGCUAGCUAGAGUACUAGUGGCUAGAGGACCUGACUCAAGUACAAGAGAGUUCAAAAUUUGUUACACAUGAGUUACUUGCUUCAUUUCGUAGUCAAGAGUAAGGCUCACACUCUUUUAGUUCAUUGUGUUCCAACCUAAUAUACACAUUUGAACAUUUCCUUAUACCUUUCACCUAAGCUUGGAAUCAAACACAAAUUAUGACAGCUAGCUUGUAACUCGUGCCUUUAGUGGAAUAGUUGAUGACGACAUCCAAACCUCAGAUCUGUCUCGUUCCACCUCUUCUCCCAGCCAAAGUGGACAACAUUUAUAGAUCCUGUGUGGAUCUAUGUACAUGAAGCAAAUAGAUAUUUCAAAUGAAAUAGUGUAUUAUGUGCAUGUUUUUGAACUACAAACAUGGUCCUUUUGGACAAAUUGUAUAUGCUCUGUAAAUAAUCUUUAUUUUAUGGUACACUGACACUCAUUGCCUGUGAGUGGGUUGUUGGGGGAUUCUACCUGACAAGUCUUCUGCAAACCAGUGUUUGUUUUAGUAUAUAUAUAUAUAUCUAUAUAUAUAUAAAAAUAUAUAUAACGUGUAUUACACUUUUUUCUCUUGCUGUAUGACAGUGGAUAUUUUUUUUCCUUUAUUUGAUGCUUGUAUGUUUGUAGAAAAUUUGUUCCCUCUGUAUGCAUUUUGUUGUUUUAGUGGUGACUUCUCAAAUCAGGAUGUAUUAAUCAACAACCUACAUCUUAACACGGUUUCCCCAGAAGUCUCUGAAAUAUGGCAUCAAGUUUCUGAGACUCACUGGCUUCUGCUGACCAACACUGGGUUACAAAUUAAAGCCACAAGUAAGCAGCAUACAUGUGUUUUGGAACACACAGAUGUUAACAGAAACAAGAUGAGAUCACCCAAAAUAUUACGUGACCACACUACAGGAAGGUUCCUACAGAACGCCUUAAUCAUUUCACAGAAAAGCUGAACCUUUCAUGUCAGCUCGUUCUAAAGACCUACCAGGACAAUCGGACAGUUUUAGUUAAAACCUUACUGUGGCUUAUAACGUAUCUCGCUACUGUCAUUGAAAAAUCUUUUAAAACCCGGUCUUGGUGAGGCUUUAUUUCCAUGACGAUACUUGAAUAUAAGCUUUCCACAGCUUGAUAACGUCAACAGGCUUCACGACUGAAGGGUCUACUUGGCCCAUUCUCUAUGAAUGUUUAACAACGGAUUUGUUCUCACUUUAAAAGUCUAUAUCACUCUCUCUUAAUUCAGUUUAUGAAUGUUUUAUUGCAACUUCAUUAGCCUCCCACCAUAGGCAGUCCACAUAAGAGCUUCGUCUCUUCCUCGGGUUGGGAUUCAUCUCUUUAAAUGGCUCAUGUUACAAAGAAAGGCGAGAGGCAGCAGGUUUAUAUCAGUCCUCCUUACACUACACCUCAAUCCACUUUAGUAUCUCAGGUAUUUGAUCUAGAUGAAUUUUCCUCUCACUCAUGACUCGCUUCAUGUCUCUUCACCUCUUUUGCAUGAUUGAGCCAAGCUGUACAAUCCUGUUGUAUAUUGUGCUGGCCGAGGUGAGAAGCCUUCUUGUGGAUCUGUAAAGCCGACAAGUUUUCAGCUCAAUGCAGACAGUGUUUUGAAAGUAGAUGUACAGAACCACCAGCCUUAUUUUUCUAUGGACCCUCAGCCGUGGAGAAGCACUGCUUGUGUUUCUGCUGUUCACAGUGUCUCUGCUCCCUGUGGACCAGGCUGAACAUUCAGAUUUGUAAUUUUACUGAAACAAAGGGGAUGUUUUUUUGUAUCAGUGAUGCUGUUUCAUUAUGACGAACAAUAAAAAUGUGAAAUGAAAA
ensembl:lncRNA